AGCCUGAACGCUGGCGGCGUGGCUAAGACAUGCAAGUCGUACGGGUGUAGCAAUACACCAGUGGCGGACGGGUGAGUAAUGUAUCGCUAACGUGCCCCCCAGUCCGGGAUAGCCGAGGGAAACUUCGGGUAAUACCGGUUGACAUCACGAUCAGGCAUCUGAUUGUGCUCAAAGGGAAACCGCUGGAGGAGCGGGCGAUAUCGUAUCAGCUAGUUGGCGGGGUAACGCCCACCAAGGCGACGACGCGUAGCCGGACUGAGAGGUUGGCCGGCCACAUUGGGACUGAGACACUGCCCAGACUCCUACGGGGGCUGCAGUAACGAAUCUUCCGCAAUGCACGCAAGUGUGACGGAGCGACGCCGCGUGUGGGACGAAGCCCCUCGGGGUGUAAACCACUGUCAGGGGAUAGAAAGUUCUGAUCAUCCCCAGAGGAAGCACGGCUAACUCUGCGCCAGCAGCCGCGGUAA
rnacentral:rRNA from 1 species